rnacentral:rRNA from 1 species
UGGCGGCGUGCUUAACACAUGCAAGUCGUACGAGAAUAAGGUAGCAAUAUCUUUAGUAAAGUGGCGCACGGGUGAGUAACACGUAAGCAACCUGCCUUCGGGUUUGGAAUAACCCCGAGAAAUCGGGGCUAAUACCGGAUUAUGCAGCGGCACCGCAUGGUGAUGUUGUUAAAGUCUAUAUGGCGCCCGAAGAUGAGCUUGGGUCCGAUUAGCUAGUUGGUAAGGUAACGGCUUACCAAGGCUACGAUCGGUAGCUGGUCUGAGAGGAUGAUCAGCCACACUGGAACUGAGACACGGUCCAGACUCCUACGGGAGGCAGCAGUGAGGAAUAUUGGGCAAUGCCCGCAAGGGUGACCCAGCAACGCCGCGUGGAGGAUGAAUGCCGUAAGGUUGUAAACUCCUGUUAGAGGGGAAGAAUAAUUCCGAUCAACUCGGAACUUGACUGUACCCUCAGAGAAAGCCCCGGCUAACUACGUGCCAGCAGCCGCGGUAAUACGUAGGGGGCUAGCGUUGUCCGGAUUUACUGGGUGUAAAGGGCGCGCAGGUGGAUCUUCAAGUCAGAGGUGAAAUCUUCCCGCUCAACGGGAAAACUGCCUUUGAUACUGUUAAUCUUGAGUUCGGAAGAGAGAGAUGGAAUUCCAGGUGUAGUGGUGAAAUACGU